rnacentral:rRNA from 1 species
GUCUACGGCCAUAUCACGUUGACUAUACCGGUUCUCGUCCGAUCGCCGAAGUCAAGCAACGUAGAGCGCAGUCAGUACUUGGAUGGGUGACCGCCUGGGAAUCCUGGGUGCCGUAGGCUUUC